UGAGUAAUACAUCGGAACGUGCCCAAUCGUGGGGGAUAACGCAGCGAAAGCUGUGCUAAUACCGCAUACGAUCUACGGAUGAAAGCAGGGGAUCGCAAGACCUUGCGCGAAUGGAGCGGCCGAUGGCAGAUUAGGUAGUUGGUGAGGUAAAGGCUCACCAAGCCUUCGAUCUGUAGCUGGUCUGAGAGGACGACCA
rnacentral:rRNA from 1 species